rnacentral:lncRNA from 1 species
CCGGCCCGGAGGUAGCGUCGGGCCAGGCCGGGCCGGGCUUUUUCGGGCCGGGUCGGGCCGGGCUUCCCAUGGCCAGGACUAGGCCUAACAAAUAUGCAAAGCUCUUGAGCUUUGGAGGCCUAAUAAACCGGAAAGGAGGGAGAGUCUCCUGUGCAAUCAGGAUUUUACUCGUAUCCUAUGCUAGCUGUGGUGAUAAAUAUGCGAAACUCUUAGGCCUAACAAAUAUGCAAAGCUCUUGAGCUUUGGAGGCCUAAUAAACCGGAAAGGAGGGAGAGUCUCCUGUGCAAUCAGGAUUUUACUCGUAUCCUAUGCUAGCUGUGGUGAUGCUUCCUGCACAUAUUUUAUACCUUCAGUGUAGUAGUAGCCCAACCAAUUAUCAAAGAAUAAUAAGUAGUGACAAUAGAGUCUCUUAUAUCACAGAAAAGAAAACCUGCCAAGUAAAAAAGACGGUCAGAAUGCACCUUAAAUCAUUGCAUACUAUAAAUUUUCUCCUAGAUAAUUUGAUCAUAUACAUAAACUAAUUACUAUGCAUUGCAGCAAAGGCGGGCAUCAAGGGCAGGAGAACAAAACAGCAAGUGGAGUAUCAUGGCAAAAUAAAGCGCAAUGUCAGGAGAUUCAUCUGUUCUACUGAUAUAAUGUACUCCUUUGACCAUAUUAUGCCUUGCCUAUUUUGAACUCCUAUGAACAUAUUACUUCACAUAUUACCUGCCGUGCUCACAUAUUACCUGUCACCUGUCUGCUAUGUGCAUGCCCAUGUGAUAUUCUGCGAUGGUUAAGUUCUCUUACUUGUUGAAUUUUUUUAUCAAACCUGAUCAACAAUAGAAUCCAGAAGGUGCUUCUUGUGAAGCUAAUUACAAGCUCACCAUAAUACAAGUGUCUUUUGAUAACACACCGUUUGGAGGUUGAUGAUGAGGCCCAGCAUUAGACAUUGGCAUUGGGAUACCCAAAUGUUUGUUGUUUGGCAGGUCAUGGUAUUCAGGCUGGGGAUCAAAGCGGAAUAUUGGCCUGUCCGUGGCAACAAGCAUGCAGCCCCUUUGUCCCGCUCUCGGUUUUCCCCAAAAUUUGGUAGCGCUCUACCCCUGCUCAACCCUUCGUCCCGCUCUAGGGAAAGAAAGAAGAACAGCGGCACAUGGUGAGGAGAUGAGAAGCAAAGCAACUCGAGGUCCAUGGUGGCACAAGCAAGCACAGAUCCCACCGUCGUCUCCCUCUUCCCCUUCACUCUCUACCUUGCGGGUUCCUGGCCGUGGAGAUUGGCGGUGUCCUGCUGCUCGCCAGAUAGAUCCAGAAGAGGUGGGGCUCGACAGCUCAACAACUAUGUACUGCGGUGAGGACGGCGCUCGGCAGUGUCACACUGGUCCGUGGUCGCCGUCAUGGGCCUCAUCCCUUGCUCGGACGGACGCCAACAAUGGUUGUCGCCCGGAGGCAACCUCGAGCAUUCCAUCCAUCCUCCCACACGUCGCCGUUGUUGGCCUCAUCGCUUGCCUCGACGGACGUGAGCAAAGGACACACAUUGUCUGCCCGUCGUGCUUCGGCACUCCUGGCGGCAACAAGGAUGCGCGGCCGAAAGGCUCAUAACGGGUUUGUGUGCGACCGCGACUCCCAUGGCCUCCCGGCGCUGCGAUGUAAUGUCCACCAUCCAAACAAGAAUUAGCAUUGGUCAAUAUCCAUGAAUUCCAUGCGGCAAAUGCAUAAACAUCCAAACAGCAAAAUUCAGGAUGUAUCUCAAUAUCAAUGUCUGGUGAUUUGAUAUUGAAGCCAAUUCUUUCCAAGGCCUUGAAUGUCUACAUCCAAAUGGAGCACAAGAGAGUUUUCUGGUCAAAAAGAACUAUAGAUACCCAUCAAUGAAUAAAAAUUGGUCAAAUUUGGCCUAUCGGAGACUUUGAGCUUGCAUAUUGUGAGACUACUUCAAUUACUCUAUCGGAGAGUAUGAGUUUGCGUAUUGAGAGACCACUUCAAUUACUCGAUUUUCUUUGUGAGAAGACUGAGUUUUCUUGUCCAUAAGAACUGGAAUUACCCAUCAAUCAAUAGAGAAUGGUCAAAUUUGGCCUAUUGGACUAUGGGUUGGCAUAUUGUGAGACUCCUUCAAAUACUCUAUUUUCUUUUUGUGCGUGUUUUCGAUUGAGUACUGAUGUGUAUCAGAGUGCCAGACAUCAAGUGAUUUGGCCGUGGGCAUAUAAACCUGGUACUGCUAGCUGAAGAUACCACCCAAUAACCAUUCCUAUUCAAGUAGUAGUAUUAGUACCAAAAAUAGUAUACACAAUUAUUUCAACAACAUACGUCUCGUAGGAACUAUAUUAGACAGACAGGUUGGGCCACCUAGCUUGGCCCGGACAAGAUGAGUAAAAGGAAGCAAACGGCUCUAGUGUGUACUCUACGGUGAAAACAAUUCAGAAAACAAAGAUGGUGGUAGUUGGGCCACUCCAUCACUUUGGUGCGGAGAAUCUAAUGUAGAGGCUUCCUAAUUUGCGUCAAAACCCAACCAUCUAUGAUAUUGAUGUAUCCAUUACAAACAAUCAAGCAAACAGACUGGGAACGAAUUAAAAAAUGCUAUCACAAAGAAUCAAAGCAAACCGUGCAGGAAGGAAUUCGACAAUGCUAUCACAAACAAUCAAAGCAAACCAUGGGGAAAGGAAUUCAGCAAUGAAACUGAGCAUACCUCAUCUAGUUGCACAUAUUUGAGGUGAAGGAGGAAACGCCAACACGCCUAAUGCUGGCCUGCAUAUAAUAAAAUUAUGUGAGGCUCAUCGCAUAACUAAAGAUUUCAAUACAAUAUGAUAAAAUAAUUAAGCUACCCUCCUAAUUAUACAUCUGUAUUGUUAAUAUGAACUUCGAAGUACUAGUCAGAUUCAAUGCACCGCGUUAGCUUUGAGGGCAAAUGAUGUCACAGAAAUUGGAAAUUUUUGAACAUGCUUUAACGGAGAGAAAAGCAAAUAUUACAACCACAGCUACACCUCCUGUUUAUAUAAGGUCAGGUUACAGCAGGGCAAUAGAAAUGUUUAACAGACACAACUAUAUUUCCAAUGAUGAACAACAAUGGUUCCUGUUUUUAUAACAGACACAACAAUAUGCAAUAUGUUACAACAACAACACAAAAUACAAUACUAAUACAGAACUGCACAUUUUAUUAAAACGGAAGCCAUAAAUACUUAAACGUUGAGUGAUAAGAACGUGCAUCACUCCCAAACGAGUUCAUAAAUCAUGAGAUAAAAAUAUGGGUACUCCCUUCGAUCCUAUUACUUGUCGCGACAAGUAAUAUGGAUCGGAGGGAGUAGUUUAUUUUGCAAUGAUGGAGAAUAAUAGGCAUGCAGAACUAAAACAACUAAGUUUCUAUCAUGAUCUGCCACGCGCAUUCAGCAAUGUAAAAAAUCCCCGCAAAAAAUACAUGUCCAACAUAUACGAUUAUGAGCUCUUUGGUUCAAAGAACAUGUUGGUAGGGGAAUUUCCUUUGGUGCCAAUAUUCAUCCAUUUGGUUCAAAUGAAUAGAGAGCAGGGGGAAAUGGAGGAAUUUCUUUGGAUACCAGUUUCAAAGAAAAAUUGCAGGAACCAUCUGGACCUCAUUUUUCAAACUCCUACUACCAAAAUCUUGAACAGCAUACGUCUCGUAGAAACUAUAUUAGACAGGCAUAGGCUGGACCACCCAGCUUGGCCCGGACAAGAUGAGUAAAAGGAAGCAAACAGCUCUAGUGUGUACACUGGGGUGAAAACAAUACAGAAAACAAAGAUGGUGGUAGUUGGGCCUCUCCAUCACUUUGGUCUGGAGAAUCUAAGGUAGAGGCUUCCUAAUUUGUGUCAAAACCCAACCAUCUAUGAUAUUGAUGGAUCCAUUGCAAACAAUCAAGCAAACAGAGUGGGAAGGAAUUCGACAAUGCUAUCACAAACAAUCAAAGCAAACCGUGCGGAAAGGAAUUCAACAAUGAGACUGAGCAUACCUCAUCUAGUUGCACAUAUUUGAGGUGAAGGAGGAAACACCAUCACGCCUCGUGCUGGCUUGCAUAUAAUAACAUUCUGUAAGGCUCAUCGCAUAAUAAAGAUUUGAAUACAACAUGAUAUAACAAUUAAGCUACCCUCCUAUACUUCUGUAUAGUUAAUAUGAACUUCAAACUGCUAGUCAGAUUCAAUGCACCUCGCUUGCUUUUGAGGCAAAAUAAUGUCACAGAAAUUGGAAAAUUUUAAACAUGCUUUAACAGAGAGAAAAAAGCAAAUAUUCACAGCUAGACCGCCUGUUUAUAUAAGGUCAGGUUAUACAAAAGGGCCAUAGAGAUGUUUAACAGACAACUAUAUUUCCAAUGAUGAACGUGGAAGUUGUAUAACAGAUACAACUAUACGCAACAUGUAAUAACAAGAAAAAAUGGUGACUGUCAACUCAUGAAACGAUGGAAACAUACAUCUGCUAUGCUAAUAACUACAGCAUAUUGCUCCUAACUUUUCUAUCUACCAAGAGGUACGACUACAUCUGUAUAAACAAAAAAAUAAUUGACCCUUCUUACACUUCUAUGGUAAAAGUAACACAAAAUAAAAUACUAACACAGAACUGCACAUUUCAUUAGCACCGAAGCCAUAAAUACUUGAACAUGAGUGGUAAGAAUGUGCAUCGCUCCCAAACCAGUUCAUAAAUCAAGAGAUAAAAAUAUGAGUGGUUUAUUUUGCAAUGAUGGAAAAUAAUAGGCACGUAGAACUAAAAUGACCAAGUUCCUACAACUGUCACACUUACUCUGCAAUGCAGAACAUCCCCGCAAAAACCAUCUGGACCUCAUUUUCCGAACUCCUACUACCGAGGUCUUUAAUUGCGUAAUAGCAUCCUAGAUUUGACCACAUUUUUAUUAAUAAUCCCGAGUUUUGUGAACCAAAUACAGUUGACAAAAUUCCUAUGUUUUCUUAUCACACGCAUUUCUACCUUAUUCUUGUGUCUAUUCCUACAUAUCAUCAGAACAAAACAUGCCCUUAAAUUUUAAAGAAUUAACACUAUAAUAAAUAUAUUUUUAAUGAGGAACAUUAGAAGUAUGAUAUUCAAAACUCAUUUUCCCACGAUGUAGAAUCAUAUCGUAAUAUAUAUAAAGCAUGUACAAUUAUGUCUUAAUAAACUUAUUAUUUUCUCAUAAUGUAAAAUCAUAAGACAUCUACAGCAUAUACAGUCAAGUUUCAAUUGUACAAUAUCAACACAGUUAUGUACUCCCUCGGUUCAUAAUUAUAAGAUGUUUUGGAUAUUCCAAUAUAGACUACAUACAGACAGAAAUGAAUGAACAAACACACUAAAAUGUGUCUAUAUCCAUCCUAUUUACAAAGAAGUUAGAACAUCUUAUAUUUGUGAAGGGAGGGAGUAGUAUAUUAUACUAGUCGCCGUGAUAACAUACAUGUACAAACAUCAUCUUGUCCAACGAUGUGUAGUUUCUCACUGAUGUACAAUCAUAAAACAUGUACAACGCAUAUACCUAAAAUUUAAUAAAUAUUAUAGUUCUAUAAUAAUAAUUGUACAAUGCUAACAUAGUUAUAUGGUUAAUUUAGCUAGUUACUUGAUUAAGAAAUAACAUGUGUAGGCUAUUAUCUUGUUUAAAAAUGUAUACCGAGGCUUAGUUUGUGGAUUGCUGAACUAUGAUUAGUGUUAACUACUCUGCAAUAAUCACUGCAGUAAGGAAAAAAGAUGAGCAGACAAUAAAAUAGGCAAAAGCUGGAAUGUAAUAAUCCACGGCAAUGCCAAACACAGCCUAAAUUUACAAUAGUGUGUACUAAUCUCUUUCAAAAGUCAAUUUCUCUAAGUUUCGUUUGUAGAAAAUGAUAAUAAAAUAUCGACAACCAAAAUACCACAUGGAUCAUUGACUAACGUGCUAAAAGGCCCCACAGGAGGUAGGGGGUCUGAGGAAGGAUUAUACAAGGCAACCCUUACCCCUACACAGUGCAAUGCAGAGAGGCCACGUCAAACCCAGGACCUCUUGGCACAAGUUGGGGCCCGUCCUUCACAUCAAAUGCUAUAUCCAUAAUAUAUUUUCGUAUUUAUUUAUUUAUUAGUAUUAUUGAAAUUGAUAUUCCUUUUUCUAUAAAUUCUAUAAACUUGUUAAAAAAAUAGAAAAAAUAUAUUUCUAUAAAUUAUAUACACCUUUUAAAAAGAAAACGGAGUGAGUAAAAUUGUGAGUGAUAAACAUGGAAUCACAUAUCAUCAUCUGUAAGGCUUAAUUUGCACUAAUCUAAAAUCAUAGACAUGUAGAACAAAUAGAAAAAUAAUCGAUAAAAGUGAAUAAUUAUUAUUAUUAUUAUAAAAAAUAGCCACAAAAUAACAUGGUCACACUUAAUUACCUUGGUACCAAUAAAAACAUUUAAGCCAUAUAAUUUUAUCAAACUAUCCAAAAACCAGUAAGUCUGUUCCUUGUGGUAUUUUAUCGAUUAUCAUGGCUAGCCUCCAAGCAAAAUAUCAAUCUCCUCAGGCAACCAUUGCACCUCACUGGCCUGCUCCAAACCACUACCUCGCAUGCGGAUGUCAUCAUCCUGCAUCAGAGAUCUGAAGCUGAUUAUGGCUUAUCUUCAGCCAAGGCUACAGUAGAUCAUAGCAGAUCAAACAGAUCUAGGCUUCUGCUACAGACAUCAAACAGUAGCCGCAUUAUAAGGCUAGGGAGCUCGCCUGGGGUAGGUAGACGAGAAAGCUAGAUCCAAAUUUCUCAGUGGGAGAACUCGAUCGACCCACCGUGCCACCACAGCCACCGGGUUAUAGCAAAAUUACCUCUGGUUAAUCACAUCGCCGGUAGCAUGUAUCAGCCACUAGCCAAGGCCCUAGCAGUGGAGACCGGCACGUCUCUCCUUGCAGAUCUGAGUCACCCACCGGUACCUUCAGAUCUGUCGCGGUCAACGCCAUAGAGGGAUGCGCCUCCGGUAGAUCUGCGACAAUUAUAUUGCCGUCCUGGAGUCUAUAGAGAACAGUCACCGGCGCAGGGCGGCGACGGACCGCCCCUCCCAUCAGUCAGAUCAACUCACCAGUUUGUCAUCAGGCCUCGACAGAGGCCGGCCAUGGAAGUCAGCUACCAUCGCACCGUCUCUGCAUCGGGAAAUUCGGAAGGAUGACCGGGCCUCCGCGCCUCCAACUCCUCCAUUCACAGGAGGCGCAGAAACCGGGAAAACUUGCCCCGAGCACCAGAAGCUCGCCCGAGCGCGUCAAACGCACCGCCGAAGGUACGGCGGCAGCGUCGCGUACGAGGGAAGGAAGGGGCCUGCGGCGGCGGCCAGGUGGUGAUGCGGCGUCGGACAGGGCAUGAGGCAGGCGGCGUAUAGGGUUUGAGAGGCGUGCAGAGGAACGAGAGAGAUGGGGAUUCCGGCUCUGUUCGAUGCCAA